rnacentral:rRNA from 1 species
GAUGAACGCUGGCGGCGUGCCUAAUACAUGCAAGUCGAGCGAACGGACGAGAAGCUUGCUUCUCUGAUGUUAGCGGCGGACGGGUGAGUAACACGUGGAUAACCUACCUAUAAGACUGGGAUAACUUCGGGAAACCGGAGCUAAUACCGGAUAAUAUUUUGAACCGCAUGGUUCAAAAGUGAAAGACGGUCUUGCUGUCACUUAUAGAUGGAUCCGCGCUGCAUUAGCUAGUUGGUAAGGUAACGGCUUACCAAGGCAACGAUGCAUAGCCGACCUGAGGGGGUGAUCGGCCACACUGGAACUGAGACACGGUCCAGACUCCUACGGGAGGCAGCAGUAGGGAAUCUUCCGCAAUGGGCGAAAGCCUGACGGAGCAACGCCGCGUGAGUGAUGAAGGUCUUCGGAUCGUAAAACUCUGUUAUUAGGGAAGAACAUAUGUGUAAGUAACUGUGCACAUCUUGACGGUACCUAAUCAGAAAGCCACGGCUAACUACGCG